UAUAAACAAUCCUGAAGGUUCUCCACAAGACAGAUGUAGAGAGGACAUAAAACAAGAGGUCACUGUUUAAAAAUACAGGGUUGCCUAUUUAAGGUGGAAAAAUGCAAUUUUCUUUUGGAGGAUCCCUUGUUCUCGAGCAGCAUGAGAAAUGGUAUCAUAGAAUGCUCUUAAGGCAGAAGCAGAUAGACACAUGGUAAGCAAGGGGAUAGAUGGGGAUUUAGGGUCAAGGUUACAAUCAGAUUAGCCAUGUUCUUGUGAAAUGGCCGACCAGGUUCGAGGGGGCCAAGCAGUCUAUUCUUCUCUGUUAUCUGUAUGUGUCUAUUUAAAAGCCACAUUAUAUUAAAAGGAUAAAAAUUUCAAAGUUACUGUUCUGUGAAGUUACUGUUUUGUGAAGUAAUUUGGACCAACAAUCAUUUGCUAAACCCUUUUUAUUCAUCAAUCCUAUUCACAACAACCCUGUAUUGUUACAUCACAGUAAACACUGGUAUGGUCAUUUAAAAAGUAACUUUAAAAAAUUGCCAUGUGAUGAUGUAGGAUCGAGACGUGGAAAUCCAGCUCUCCUGUAAAAAACCAGUAAGAUAAUGUUUAAGUGAAGAAAAAUUAGUAAAUACUUUUUAAAAAUUACUUAUAAGCUACUCAGGAUUGUCUUAAGAUUGUCUCCUAAACAGAAGCAGAAGAAAACUACUACUUUGAAGACAACACAAGAUGGAAAAGAAUCAAGGCCGGCUGCCAUGAAAGAGCCUCGGUCUCAAGUGCAUUUUACCUUCGGCGAUACAGAACAGGAAACUGUGGCAACAUCAACUGUUUCCCAAAAAAAAAGAGCAAUAGGAAUUGCGUAUGUGUGAAGGAAGGGGCAUGUGCGAACACGAGCAACCCAAACGACAAAUCCUAGCUAUGAUCAGUACUGAAAGUGAAAGUGAAUAUGAGGUGGAAUCAGAUUCUCUGGAUAAAUCAGAUGAAGAUGAAGAGACAAACAAAGAAGGGCAACAGGAAGAGGCUGGAGGUGAUAUUGGAGACAUAAAAAAAUCUUUGGUGCAAAUAAUGCAUGAAUUAAAAGCAUUAAAAGUAAUAAAAAAGAUAUUAAAAUAUGAAGAUUAUGUUUGAUAAAAUGAUGAAAAGACAGGAUAAAAUGGACAAGAAAAUUAAAAACUUGGAAGAAACAAUGGGAGACACCAUUGAUAGAGUGAAUAAAAUGGAAGAUAAUAUUUCUGCCUGGACAUCAGAAAGAAAAUGGUUGUUGGAAAAAAUGGAUGUACUUGAAAAUUUUAGCAGACGAAAUAAUAUUAAGAUUGUUGAACUUAAAGAAGGUAUAGAGGGAGAGGAUCCAAUAAAUUUUUUUCAAAAAUGGAUUCCGAAAAUUUUGGAAAUGGAAGAAGGAACCCAGUUAAUUGAAAUUGAAAGGGAUCACAGAGCCUUAAGAUCAAGACCUCAAGUUGAUCAAAACCCACGAUCAAUCUUGAUAAAAUGCUUAAGAUAUCAAGAUAAAGAAAAGAUCUUGAAGGCGGCUGCCCAACGUGCCAGAAAGAGAAACGGGCCAUUGAUGAUAGAAGGGAAAACAGUUCUUUUCUAUCCUGAUAUGAGUUAUGACCUUUUGAAGAGAAAGAAGGAACUUAACCCAGCGAAAAAAGUUUUAUGGGAAAAGGGUUAUAAAUUUAUAUUGCGCCACCUGGCAACCCUGAUAAUUUUUUUGGAUGACGGAAAAAGAAAAUCUUUUACUGAUUAUCAGGGUGCAGAAGAAUUUGCACAAGAACUCCUAAAUAUUCGCUAACCACAGCCAAAGAUUUAAAAGUGAAACGGAUUAAAGAUGAAGACAGGGACAGUGAAUGGAGUUGAUGGAUGUUUAAGGACAGAAGAAUAUUUAAAUAUAUUCUUAAUUAUAUGAUACAGGGGGAGAAAGCACUCGUCACACUAUCUGGGUGACCGAGGACACCCCGUUCCGAGACAGGUCACGGCAACUGGCCCUUUCAGAGUUAGAAGACGUUCAGCAGCAUUUGUGUAAGUUGAAGGAAGCUGUGAUCAUCACUGAGUCUAGAAGCCACUAUGCAUUCCCCAAUAGUAGUGGCCAGGAAGAAAAAUGGGAAGGUACGGAUCUGUGUGGACUUCAGGACUCUGAACAGGAGUACCGACCCUGACCAGUAAACAGUCCCACGGAUCGAAUAUGCGCUGGCCUGUCUGAGUGGUGAGAAGUGGUUCAGUGUGCUGGACUUGAGGAGUGGAUAUUACCAGAUCGCCAUGAGCGAGGCUGUCAAAGAGAAGAUGGCAUUUAUAUGUCCACUGGGAUUCUUCCAGUUUGAAAGGAUGCUCCAGAGCAUAUCAGGAGCCCCUGCAACCUUCCAGCGGGUCAUAGAGAAAAUAAUGGGGGAUAUGAACUUGCUUGAAGUAUUGGUGUAUCUGGAUGACCUCAUAGUGUUUGGGUCCACCUUGGAGGAACAUGAAGCAAGGCUGCUGAAGACGAUCUCUGGCCCCACUAAGCGCAUGAGAUUGAGUGCAAGAGCAGGAAUAAAUGAUUAGCCAGCUACAUCACCCUUCCAGCCAUCGAGGAUACUUUCAAGAGAUGGUGCAGUAUCCUUCUUUGCAAAUCCAGGAUAUGCCCUCGUCUCGUUACCACCAUCAGUGAGGAGAUACAGGAGACCAGAGACCCACACUCAAUCAGUUAUGAGCAGUUUCUUCCCCUCUAUCACUGGAUUUAUGAAUGGUCUGUGAACACUACCUUAUUGUUCCUUUUUUUCUAUUAUUUAUUCAGUUUUGUAAUUUAUAGAUUUUUAUGGCUUUGAGCUGUACUGCUGCCACAGAACAAUAAAUUUCUUGUCAUAUGUCAGUGAUAAUAAAUCUGAUUCUGAUUGCAGAAAACCAUACCUCAGGCAAAUCUGUGGAGUACGGUUCUGACAAGCAAUGGAACAUGUCUUGAUGACUGAGGUUGUUCACUACAAUACAGCUACUGGUUUUACUGUUCUUGCUCCAUCAAGGCCACGAUAAUUGUGUAAUUAUGAUGAAAUUGUUGAUUCUAUUGGGAUAGGGCUGAACAUAACUAAUGCCUUUUGACAUUUUCUUAGUCAAGGAAGGUGAGAUAUAUGACAGAGUUGCUUCAAACCCUGAUGAUGGAGAUAUUAAUCAAAAGCAUUUCACAAAUGGAUGGCAGCCUGUGUUCCUUGAAGGAAAAGCUGUAAACUUGGAAGCUCCAGUUCAUUUAUUUUUCAAUCCUCUGCUUCAAGCUCAACCUCCUCCCUAUUCCACAAGCUUCUUGUGGCUUCUGAACUUAACCUUUCGGCAAAAUCAUUGGUGGUCUCUCAUGAUGACCAGAUUUUGAAGCACGCAGCAAGUCCUGAACCUUUCUUGACCUCCUCUUUGCCUUCUCUUCCACCACCCCCAACUCACCUUAGCUUCCAUUCUGUGCCCUGACAGUGUUGCUGCUCUUCCCAGCCUUAAAUGUCCCUCACUCUCCAAAUCAGAGCCCAACAAUAUCCAAACAACAUACUUCUCUGGGAAUGUCCACGAGCUACAAUAAUAUAAUACUGUUUUGCUUUAAAUCAGGUAAUUUUCAGAAUAACUUUUUAAUAGACGUUGGGUGCCUCAGAAAGCUUUCUAAUGAGUGCACAGAUGUAUUUGAUCACUUGGGCAAUCUCUGCAGCAAGAGAAUAGUAAAACUGAGUAUGGCUGUAAGCAGCACUCUCAAUCCUGACCACCCAGUCUUUAUUCUAACUUGGUAAUUUCUCCUCCCUCCCUCUCUUUUGCCAAUCCUCAUUCUGUCUGCCUUCUCAUCACCUUCCUCUCCUCCCCUCCUUCAACUCUUUCCCCCAUGGUCCACUCUCCUGUUAGAUUCCUUCUUCAGCCUUUUAUCUCUCCCACAUAUCCCCCCCCCAGCUCCUCACUUCAUCUCCCCUCCCCCACCCACUCACCUUCCCCCCUCAUCUGGUCUCACCUGUCACUUAUCAGCCUGCAAACGUUGCCCUCCCUCCACCACCUUAUUUGGGCUGCUGCCCCCUUCUUUUCCAGUCCUGAUAAAGGGUCUUUGCCCAAAACAUUGAGGUUUAUUUCCCUCCCUAGAUGCUGCCUGACUUGUUGAGUUCCUCCAGCAUUUUCUGUGUGUCACCCAUUCUUAUUCUUGUUCAACUGGCUGUCUUUGGGAAUGAUCAUUCGCUACCAUGCUGGCCGGGUACAUGGCGUCCUUAAUGAGUUUUAAGGGCUAAAUGAAUUGCUAAUGAAAGAAUUAAUAAAUUUUUAUGCAUCCAUUUUAAGCAAAUGCAGUACUUCAAAUUCUUCACCGACAUCAUGAAAGGUGAUUUGCAAAGUAAGUUUAAAAUUCAGUCUCAAAUAAGCACUCAUACCAAAACAAUGUAAACUGUAACUUGUGUAUUGUAUCUCUAUAACCUCUCAAUGAGUUUGUCUAUUCAUUGCAAAACACAAAUCAAUCUCAACAAACAGAUCAGAUCGUUCCAGACUCAGAAUUUAAACAACUCAAAAACCCAGCCUAAAUUUGCGGUACCAAUUAACUGGAACAUGAAGUACGUACAGUCUAUAUUUAGAGCAAUUGUCAAGUAACACAGUAUGAGCAUGUGGUACAAAUUGCUAUUGGAAAGGGAACCUAUUAGCGGUCAAUCAUAUGAAAGAACUUCCAAAGAGCAAAGGAGUUUUGCAAUCAACAUUGAGCCAUGAAGGCUUUACAGUUCAAGUCUGCGUUUAGAUAGCUGGCCUCUGUUAAGUCAGCAGUCAUACACCAGAGGUGGUGUAAUUAAGUCCAACCUUAGGGCAAUUAACUCCGUUCCAUUUCCUGAUUAAUUUUCAAAUAAAUUGCUUUAUGUAGAAUUUGAAUGAAAGCUAUUUCAGUUUCAACAUCUUUCCCAUUCAAAUAGAUUAUGAUAAACCACAAGAAUGAAAGACUUGCAAAUAUAUAGAACCUUUUUUCAAGCCCCGAGUUUUUUUAACUAGUGGAUAAUAAAGACAAGUUACACAGAGGAAGGUUCACAAACAGUAGAUAAAUGACCAGUACAUUUGUAUAUUUAACUAAAAUGUCUAAGAAUUAAAUUGGGCAUUUUACUCAGAGAGGUCUACUGCUCUUCUUUAAAUAACUUUGUAGCCAAGAUAAACAGACAAGGUAUUUAUUUUGAAACCUUGUCCAAAAAAAUUGUACUUUUGACAAUAAAAUACUCACUGAGUCCUGAAGCAACAGUGUAGAUUUUGUACUCAGGUAUUUUGGAUUAUGUAUAAGAGAUCGCUUUUCUGCUUUCAACUAGAUUAUCAUGCAUACUUUUCAUUCAUAGUGACUUUGUUGAAGAAGGAUCUAUUCUGAUCUGAAGUUUAAAAAUAAUAGUAACAAUUGCCACCUCAUUGUGUUAUGCUGCAAAUGAUGGAUUAAAUUUAAGAAAAUUACUUUAUAAUGAUUCUAUAGUCUGUGCAUUCCUCCACUGACCAUCAUGUGCUGUGGAUUAAAUGAAACGAGGGAGGUAUGCUUGGGUACCUUAUUAUUAAUUAGGCAGCAAGUGUUGGGAAGAUAACAGCGAACUUAAUAAGAUGAAAUUCAGUCAUCUUUAUCUAUGCAGUCACUGUUUGAUUGACAGGGUUACCAUUUAUUUCUUCUCUAAUUGAAUAUAAUAUUGUUGUUAUAUGCAGCCUUUUAGAAUCCCAGAAUAGUUAUAGCACAGAAGGAGGCCAACUGAUCUGUAUAAUCUGUACAGGCUCUAUAAGAGAGUAGUACAACUCUCUCCCAUCCAAUCCCCAUUUUUUCUUUUCAAAUACUUAUCUGUUCCCUUUGUAAUGCAAUGGUCAACAUUGUCCCUGCAAUUACCCCAGUCACUGAAUUUCAGAUACCAACCACUUCCUAUGUAAAUUCAUAAUGUCCCUUUUAGUCUUUUUCAAAUCACUUUCAUGGAAAGUGAUCACUUUCAAAAUCAUGGAAUUCCCUCCCAAACAGCACCGUGGGUCCCUCAGGGACAGCAGCGGUUCAAGAAGGCAGCUCAUCACCACCUUCUCAAGGACAUCUAGGGAUGGGCCAUAAAUGCUGGCUCAGCUGGAGAUGCCAACAUCCCAUAAAUGAAUAAAUAAAAACAC